GCAUUAAUAGUUCAGGGGUAGAACGUUUCACUCGUAAUGAAAAGGUCGCUGGUUCGAAUCCAGUUUAAUGCA
rnacentral:tRNA from 1 species